rnacentral:rRNA from 1 species
CCCUUAGAUGUUCUGGGCCGCACGCGCGCUACAAUGAUUGUCUCAGCAUGUUUUGGGUUUGUAAAUACCCAGGAAUCCCGAGUAACAAUCGUGAUGGGGCUAGACCCUUGCAAUUUUUGGUCUCCAACGAGGAAUUCCUAGUAAAGGCAGGUCAUUAACCUGCCUUGAUUACGUCCCUGCCCUUUGUACACACCGCCCGUCGCACCUACCGAUUGAAUGGUCCGGUGAAAUCUCCAGACGUGGUUUUACCAUGAAAGCUGAUUGAACCUUAUCAUUUAGAGGAAGGUGAAGUCGUAACA